UCUACGGGUGGCAGCAGUAGGGAAUCUUCCACAAUGGGCGCAAGCCUGAUGGAGCAACACCGCGUGAGUGAAGAAGGGUUUCGGCUCGUAAAGCCCUGUUGUUGGAGAAGAACGUGCGUGAGAGUAACUGUUCACGCAGUGACGGUAUCCAACCAGAAAGUCACGGCUAACUACGUGCCAGCAGCCGCGGGAAUACGUAGGAGGCAAGCAUUAUCCGGAUUUAUUGGGCGUAAAGCGAGCGCAGGCGGUUGCUUAGGUCUGAUGUGAAAGCCUUCGGCUUAACCGAAGAAGUGCAUCGGAAACCGGGCGACUUGAGUGCGGGAGAGGACAGUGGAACGCAAGGUGUAGCGGUGGAAUGCGUAGAUAUCUGGAAGAACACCAGUGGCGAAGGCGGCUGUCUGGUCUGCAACUGACGCUGAGGCUCGAAAGCAUGGGUAGCGAACAGGAUUAGAUACCCUUGUAGUC
rnacentral:rRNA from 1 species